AUGAAGAGUUUGAUCCUGGCUCAGGAUGAACGCUAGCGGCAGGCCUAACACAUGCAAGUCGAGGGGUAACAGGAAGUGCUUGCACUUUGCUGACGACCGGCGCACGGGUGCGUAACGCGUAUGCAAUCUACCUCUUACUGAGGGAUAGCCCAUGGAAACGUGGAUUAACACCUCAUGGUAUUUUAAAUUGGCAUCAAUUUAAGAUUAAAGGUUACGGUAAGAGAUGAGCAUGCGUCCUAUUAGCUAGAUGGUAAGGUAACGGCUUACCAUGGCAACGAUAGGUAGGGGUCCUGAGAGGGAGAUCCCCCACACUGGUACUGAGACACGGACCAGACUCCUACGGGAGGCAGCAGUGAGGAAUAUUGGACAAUGGGCGAGAGCCUGAUCCAGCCAUGCCGCGUGCAGGAAGACUGCCCUAUGGGUUGUAAACUGCUUUUGUAUAGGAAGAAACCUUUCCUCGUGAGGAAAAUUGACGGUACUAUACGAAUAAGGAUCGGCUAACUCCGUGCCAGCAGCCGCGGUAAUACGGAGGAUCCAAGCGUUAUCCGGAAUCAUUGGGUUUAAAGGGUCCGUAGGCGGGUUUAUAAGUCAGUGGUGAAAGUCUGCAGCUUAACUGUAGAACUGCCAUUGAUACUGUAGAUCUUGAAUCAUUAUGAAGUGGUUAGAAUGUGUAGUGUAGCGGUGAAAUGCAUAGAUAUUACACAGAAUACCGAUUGCGAAGGCAGAUCACUAAUAAUGUAUUGACGCUGAUGGACGAAAGCGUAGGUAGCGAACAGGAUUAGAUACCCUGGUAGUCUACGCCGUAAACGAUGGUUACUAGCUGUCCGGCCUAAUUGAGGGCUGGGUGGUUAAGCGAAAGUGAUAAGUAACCCACCUGGGGAGUACGUUCGCAAGAAUGAAACUCAAAGGAAUUGACGGGGGCCCGCACAAG
rnacentral:rRNA from 1 species